rnacentral:rRNA from 1 species
UACGUAGGGUGCAAGCGUUGUCCGGAAUUAUUGGGCGUAAAGAGCUCGUAGGCGGUCUGUUGCGUCGGCUGUGAAAACCCGGGGCUCAACUCCGGGCCUGCAGUCGAUACGGGCUGGCUUGAGUGCGGUAGGGGAGACUGGAAUUCCUGGUGUAGCGGUGAAAUGCGCAGAUAUCAGGAGGAACACCCGUGGCGAAGGCGGCUCCCUGGUCCGUUUCUGACGCUGAGACGCGAAAAGCGCGGGGAGCGAACGGG